rfam:Triticum aestivum genome assembly, contig: Triticum_aestivum_CS42_TGACv1_scaffold_093497_2AL
AUUAUACUCCCUCCGUCCCAAAAUUGUUUAUCUAGAUACGGGUGUAUCUAAUACUAAAACAUGACUUGAUACAUCCAUAUCUAGACAAAUCUAAGACAAUAAUUUUGGGACGGAGGGAGUAUCUA